ensembl:lncRNA
CACAGACCGUUGUAACAUGAGACAUUCUGCACACAUGCCGAGCAGGAGCAAGGAAAGAUCUCCCAUGUAUGGAAUUCAGGAAUCAAAGACAGAGGACUUCCUGGUGAUAUCUGGAACAGACAUCGGGACAUCACAACCCCUUUUCUGAUGAUACAUCCCAUCACUGACUGGACACAGACAACUGAGUGUGACUUAUCCAGCCACACGCACAGCAGCCACUGAUUCAAAGGAGCUGCCAUCAGACCCUCUUACUCUAGAUCAACUCUGGAGGUUUCCAUUUGCUCACAGCGCUAAUUAACAG